rnacentral:tRNA from 1 species
ACCUGGGUGGCUUAGUGGGUUGAGCGUCUGACUUCAGCUCAGGUCAUGAUCCCACAGUUUGUGAGUUGGAGCCCCACAUCAGGUU